rnacentral:rRNA from 1 species
UACGGAGGAUGCGAGCGUUAUCCGGAUUUAUUGGGUUUAAAGGGUGCGCAGGCGGCACGGCAAGCCGGCGGUCAAAUCGCGGGGCUCAACCCCGCCCAGCCGUCGGAACUGCCGGGCUAGAGUGGGCGAGAAGUGCGCGGAAUGCGUGGUGUAGCGGUGAAAUGCAUAGAUAUCACGCAGAACUCCGAUCGCGAAGGCAGCGCACCGGCGCCCUACUGACGCUCAGGCACGAAAGCGUGGGUAUCGAACAGG